AUCUGGAUAGAGAGUGAGGGAGAUAAAGAGGUACAAGCUUCCAGUUGCAAAAUAAAUGUAUCAUGGGUAUAAAAUAUGCAGUGUGGGAAACAUGGUCAAUAACAUGUACUAUCUUUGGAUGGUGGAUGUACAGUAACUAGACAGUGGUGAUCAGUUUGAACUGUAUAGAAAUAUCAAAUAACUAAGCUGUGCAACAGGAACUAACAGUGCUGUAUGUCAAUUAGACUUCAAAAUCAAACAGACUUGUAGAAAGACCAGAUUUGUAGUUACCAGAGGUGGAGAGCAGUGGGAGGGCAAACUGGAUGAAGGCAGUC